CCCUACGGGGGCAGCAGUAGGGAAUCUUCCACAAUGGGCGAAAGCCUGAUGGAGCAACGCCGCGUGGGUGAAGAAGGUCUCCGGAUUGUAAAACCCUGUUGUUAGAGAAGAAAGUGCGUGAGAGUAACUGUUCACGUUUCGACGGUAUCUAACCAGAAAGCCACGGCUAACUACGUGCCAGCAGCCGCGGUAAUACGUAGGUGGCAAGCGUUAUCCGGAUUUAUUGGGCGUAAAGGGAACGCAGGCGGUCUUUUAAGUCUGAUGUGAAAGCCUUCGGCUUAACCGGAGUAGUGCAUUGGAAACUG
rnacentral:rRNA from 1 species